GGAGAAAGUGCUAAGUAUCAAUGGAUAGCCGGGUUUUGUUUUUCAUGCUUCACACGCAAGGGGUCACAGAUUCGAGUUCUGUCGUCUCCACCA
rnacentral:tRNA from 1 species